GAUGAACGCUGGCGGCGUGCCUAAUACAUGCAAGUCGAGCGAACGGACGAGAAGCUUGCUUCUCUGAUGUUAGCGGCGGACGGGUGAGUAACACGUGGAUAACCUACCUAUAAGACUGGGAUAACUUCGGGAAACCGGAGCUAAUACCGGAUAAUAUUUUGAACCGCAUGGUUCAAAAGUGAAAGACGGUCUUGCUGUCACUUAUAGAUGGAUCCGCGCUGCAUUAGCUAGUUGGUAAGGUAACGGCUUACCAAGGCAACGAUGCAUAGCCGACCUGAGAGGGUGAUCGGCCACACUGGAACUGAGACACGGUCCAGACUCCUACGGGAGGCAGCAGUAGGGAAUCUUCCGCAAUGGGCGAAAGCCUGACGGAGCAACGCCGCGUGAGUGAUGUAGGUCUUCGGAUCGUAAAACUCUGUUAUUAGGGAAGAACAUAUGUGUAAGUAACUGUGCACAUCUUGACGGUACCUAAUCAGAAAGCCACGGCUAACUACGUG
rnacentral:rRNA from 1 species